rnacentral:rRNA from 1 species
UACGUAGGGUGCGAGCGUUAAUCGGAAUUACUGGGCGUAAAGAGUGCGUAGGCGGUUCUUGAAGUCCGCUGUGAAAGCCCCGGGCUUAACCUGGGAAUGGCAGUGGAAACUGGGGGACUUGAAUUGAGCAGAGGGGGGUGGAAUGCCGCGUGUAGCAGUGAAAUGCGUAGAGAUGCGGCGGAACACCGAUGGCGAAGGCAGCCCCCUGGGCUUAAAUUGACGCUGAGGCACGAAAGCGUGGGGAGCAAACAGGAUUAGAUACCCUGGUAGUCCACGCCCUAAACGAUGGCAACUAGGUGUUGGGGAAGCAAUUCCUUGGUACCGCAGCUAACGCGUGAAGUUGCCCGCCUGGGGAGUACGGUCGCAAGAUUAAA